UUGACCAACCAUCUUGUUUGGCUGAGUGAGAAUCUGCUCACCUGCUCCUACAUCAAUGACUCUCAGAGGGUUGGUGUGCUGGGGACUAAGAACCAUACUGCCGACUGAACCAAUCUGAGCAAACUCAGUGGUGCUUAAUACUGAUGAGCUUGACAGGAUCUAGAAUCAUCGAUGAGUCAUUUCUGAGCAUGCUUGUAAAGAAUGUUCUUAGUUAUAUUAAUCGAAUCAGGAAGACCCUCAGUGUGGGAGUAUCAAGUCGCAUGCACAAGACGGUUGUCACCAUCAAUUAUAUGGAAAACGGUCAACAGAUUGGUAUGCUUUUAGUGGGCUUUUGAAGAACAUGGAACCCAGUAGACUGAGACCAAAUAUUAAACAUACUGAUUUCUCAAGGUGA